rnacentral:rRNA from 1 species
GAUGAACGCUGGCGGCGUGCCUAACACAUGCAAGUCGAGCGAGAACCGCCGGAAUGACACUUCGGUAGAAUGAAAGCGGGGAAAGCGGCGGACGGGUGAGUAACGCGUAGGUAACCUGCCCCAUACACAGGGAUAGCCUAGGGAAACCUGGAUUAAUACCUGAUGAAGCAACUGGUCGCAUGACCGGCUGCCAAAGAUUUAUCGGUAUGGGAUGGACCUGCGUCUGAUUAGUGAGUUGGUGGGGUAAUGGCCUACCAAAGCGACGAUCAGUAGCCGACCUGAGAGGGUGAUCGGCCACAUUGGAACUGAGACACGGUCCAAACUCCUGCGGGAGGCAGCAGUGGGGGAUAUUGCACAAUGGGCGGAAGCCUGAUGCAGCAACGCCGCGUGAGCGAAGAAGGUCUUCGGAUCGUAAAGCUCUGUCCUGGGGGAAGAAACAAAUGACGGUACCCCGGGAGGAAGCCCCGGCUAACUACGUGCCAGCAGCCGCGGUAAAAUCACG